AGAGUUUGAUCCUGGCUCAGGACGAACGCUGGCGGCACGCUUAACACAUGCAAGUCGAACGAGAGAAGAGGAGCUUGCUUUUCUGAUCUAGUGGCGGACGGGUGAGUAACACGUGAGCAAUCUGCCUUUCAGAGGGGGAUACCGAUUGGAAACGAUCGUUAAUACCGCAUAACAUAAUUGAACCGCAUGAUUUGAUUAUCAAAGAUUUAUCGCUGAAAGAUGAGCUCGCGUCUGAUUAGCUAGUUGGUAAGGUAACGGCUUACCAAGGCGACGAUCAGUAGCCGGACUGAGAGGUUGAUCGGCCACAUUGGGACUGAGACACGGCCCAGACUCCUACGGGAGGCAGCAGUGGGGAAUAUUGCACAAUGGAGGAAACUCUGAUGCAGCGAUGCCGCGUGAGGGAAGAAGGUUUUAGGAUUGUAAACCUCUGUCUUCAGGGACGAAAAAAGACGGUACCUGAGGAGGAAGCUCCGGCUAACUACGUGCCAGCAGCCGCGGUAAUACGUAGGGAGCGAGCGUUGUCCGGAAUUACUGGGUGUAAAGGGAGCGUAGGCGGGAUCGCAAGUCAGAUGUGAAAACUAUGGGCUUAACCCAUAAACUGCAUUUGAAACUGUGGUUCUUGAGUGAAGUAGAGGUAAGCGGAAUUCCUAGUGUAGCGGUGAAAUGCGUAGAUAUUAGGAGGAACAUCAGUGGCGAAGGCGGCUUACUGGGCUUUAACUGACGCUGAGGCUCGAAAGCGUGGGGAGCAAACAGGAUUAGAUACCCUGGUAGUCCACGCCGUAAACGAUGAUUACUAGGUGUGGGGGGACUGACCCCUUCCGUGCCGCAGCAAACGCAAUAGGUAAUCCACCUGGGGAGUACGACCGCAAGGUUGAAACUCAAAGGAAUUGACGGGGGCCCGCACAAGCAGUGGAGUAUGUGGAUUAAUUCGAAGCAACGCGAAGAACCUUACCAGGUCUUGACAUCGUAUGCAUAGCUCAGAGAUGAGUGAAAUCUCUUCGGAGACAUAUAGACAGGUGGUGCAUGGUUGUCGUCAGCUCGUGUCGUGAGAUGUUGGGUUAAGUCCCGCAACGAGCGCAACCCUUACUGUUAGUUGCUACGCAAGAGCACUCUAGCAGGACUGCCGUUGACAAAACGGAGGAAGGUGGGGAUGACGUCAAAUCAUCAUGCCCCUUAUGACCUGGGCCUCACACGUACUACAAUGGCUGUCAACAGAGGGAAGCAAAGCCGCGAGGUGGAGCGAACCCCUAAAAGCAGUCUUAGUUCGGAUUGUAGGCUGCAACCCGCCUACAUGAAGUCGGAAUUGCUAGUAAUCGCAGAUCAGCAUGCUGCGGUGAAUACGUUCCCGGGCCUUGUACACACCGCCCGUCACGCCAUGGGAGUCGGUAACACCCGAAGCCUGUAGUCUAACCGCAAGGAGGACGCAGUCGAAGGUGGGAUUGAUGACUGGGGUGAAGUCGUAACAAGGUA
rnacentral:rRNA from 1 species